UACGUAGGGUGCGAGCGUUGUCCGGAAUUACUGGGCGUAAAGGGAGCGUAGGCGGAUAGUUUAGUCGGAGGUGAAAGCCCAGGGCUCAACCUUGGAAUUGCCUUUGAUACUGGCUAUCUUGAGUACGGAAGAGGUAUGUGGAACUCCGAGUGUAGAGGUGAAAUUCGUAGAUAUUCGGAAGAACACCAGUGGCGAAGGCGACAUACUGGUCCGUUACUGACGCUGAGGCUCGAAAGCGUGGGGAGCAAACAGG
rnacentral:rRNA from 1 species